AACUCCUGGGCUCAAACAAUCCUCCCAUCUCAGCCUCCCAAAGUGCGGGAUUACAGGCAUGAACUACAUUGCCUGGUGCUGUGAUUUUAAGUUGUAGAUUAGGAUAUCUUACUCACAGUUCCAAGAACCAGUACCCAGGAGAAUGUCUGGUACAUAGAUGCUUCACUUUGCUUGUACUUGUUGGCUGUCACAAGAUCAAUAACCAGCAUGAAAAUCCCCGUCUCACAACCCUUUGAAAAGUGAAGAGAUUAAUGUCUAGUGAGGAGAUGGUGGUGUGACAGAGGCCACAUAGCCACCGAGUGGGUGAGCUGGAACUCAAAUCUAGAAUAAUGAGGUCUUCAAAAAUUGUUAUUGGUGAAAUCUACAGGACUGAAGAAGGCAGAAGAGAGAUGGAGUGACAGGUGGAAUAACUUGGGGAGAAUUCUGUGCUUCCUGCAAUGAGAAGGCAUCCAACUGUCCAGGGACAAGGAGAAGGAUUUGGAGAGUAAAUCUAUUUUGAAGGAUGAGUUCAGUAUUCAUGGCGAUAAGACUUCUUUUAGGGACAUUUGGUGUCUGCAACAUUGAUGUGUUAAUCAGAGGCUAUAAUUACUAAGAACAGACAUGAUACUCUGGAAAAUAAGCAUAGUGUCCUGAAUGGAGCUAUUCACAGCUGGCAUACGGCAAAGACACAUCCUUGUUUACUGAAGUCAGAAACACCUGAGUAUUUCAUGUCUUUCAAAAGUUUCCCUGAUGAGUGUUUCUCAUUGGUGUGUCCCACAGGUCUGCCAUUUUGGGUUCUUUAUGCCUACCCUAAUCACAAUAUAAACCCAUUUAUCCAUGUUCUAUUAUAAAAUAUAUAUAAAAAACAUAAAAUGUUCAUUCUUAUGAUAAUUCCACGCAUUCUUCAUGAACCUUCUAAAACUAUUCCACAGUUUUUGCUUUUCUCUUCUGGAGAAAAAAUAAUCUCAUGCCUUUUAUCUUUCCCCAGAGGUCCCAUUUUCCCAUGCUUUAAUCAUUUUUAUUGUUCCCAUCUGUACCUACUUUAAUUUCUUCUAUCCCUUUGAAAAUGAGUAUCUAUGAGUUAGAUAUAGUACUCUUAAAACUGGAAUUGAUCUAAAAUAGCUAUUGAUCUGUUACUGGAAUUCCUAUCUAUAUUUGGAUAAGGCAAUAUAGAAAAAAUGAUGGUAAAAACAAGGGGGAAAAAUGGGAGAAACUGGUACCAUGUAAGAAUAUUUUCAGAUUCAGAGGUAGUUCUAAGUAGCAAAACUUACCCUAAAGAUAAAUAAGAAAAGGCAGAAAGAUUUGAGAAAAUGGCUAUUAUGGAAGUUAAAUAAAAAAUAUAAAGAACACAAAAAUUUUAUCUAUGAAACGAUUACAACUGCAAAUGCAUGCCUGCAUAUAAAUGGGCAAGUACAGGAAAAGAAAUAUUCAGAGGUCAGUCUUUCUUAGACCAGUGUAAGUUCCUGCAUUUAUUUUCAAUUUUAAUUUCCCCGAUUUUAGUAGUGCUAUGUGUGCAAUAACUAAAACUUAUAGUUUUAAAAGAACUAUCUGAGGAAUAAGAAAAGGAAAUCUAGGACACCUAAUAAUGUAAUAAUUAAGAAUAGUUAAAAAACAAAAGAAAGUCCUUUAGAUCUUUACUAUUCUAAUGCAUUUAGUAAAUCCUACAGAGAUUAUUGACUUUUGCUGUUCAUGCUUGCAGUGAAUAGGUAUUGAAAAAAUAGGUUGGGCUCAGUGGCUUUUGCCUGUAAUCCCAACACUUUGGGAGGU